rnacentral:misc_RNA from 1 species
GAGUAUAUGCAGCAAAAGGCUUCAACAUAAAACUUAGAUAAGCUACCUGAUUAUGAGGAUAUUGAAACUCUUGGAGAUGAUGAAGCUGAAGAUGAUGUUGGGGUAAUUCUUGAAGGCUCGAAGGGAAGUAGUAAGGUUUAAAAGAAGCCAAGGAAAAAGGGUCCAACAGAUGUAUAUUUUGCCAAAAGUGCUGAAAAGGCUGUGCAAGAUAGAAAAAAUUCAAAG